rnacentral:rRNA from 1 species
UACGAAGGGGGCUAGCGUUGCUCGGAGUCACUGGGCGUAAAGGGUGCGUAGGCGGGUCUUUAAGUCAGUGGUGAAAUCCUGGAGCUCAACUCCAGAACUGCCUUCGAUACUGGGAAGCUCGAGUCCGGGAGAGGUGAGUGGAACUGCGAGUGUAGAGGUGAAAUUCGUAGAUAUUCGCAAGAACACCAGUGGCGAAGGCGGCUCACUGGCCCGGUACUGACGCUGAGGUGCGAAAGCGUGGGGAGCAAACAGG